GCAGUUGUGGCCGAGUGGUAAAGGUGUUAGACUUGAAAUCUAUUCCUCUAUGAGGACGUAGGUUUGAACCAUACCAACUGCG
rfam:Daphnia pulex DAPPTscaffold_73_Cont3730, whole genome shotgun sequence.